rnacentral:misc_RNA from 1 species
AAGUCGUAACAAGGUAACCGUAGGUGAACCUGCGGUUGGAUCAUUAAUAAAAUUAUAUAGAAGAACUCCUAAUAAGAGAUCUAUCUAUCACAUCUUGUGAAUUAUUCAUGUCUCUGGUGUGUUAAUAAUUAGUUUAUCUUUUUGCUACACACACCAGAUAAACUUUUAUAAACUUUUGUCUAAACUUUUAAGCCUAAAAAAUCUAAAAAAAAAAGUAAAAACAACUUUUGACAACGGAUCUCUAGGCUCUC